rnacentral:lncRNA from 1 species
GACCGCUCUCAGCACCUUCGGCCUCUACCUGAAGAGCCACGCCCCGUCUGCUACACCCAACCGAUUGGUUCCUCAAUCACAGAGAGGAAAGGCAACAUGAGGAUGACGUCAGAUACAAAUAUGGCGUUUUGGACGGGCUCGAUAGUUUGCUUGGCCUCUACUCAAGCAAGCUGCCCUGUUGUGAGCUCUCUGGUGGAGAGCCCCACAUGGCAAGAAAAUGAGAAGCCCCCUGAACAGACAAGAGCUGAGGCCCAGGAUACAAUAUCCUGAAAAAAACUGAAUCCUGCUGACAGUUGCCCAAGUGAAGCUGGAAGUGGAUCUUUCUGCAGUGGAUCCUUGAGAUGACUGCAGCCCUGGCUGAUAACUUGAUUGCUGCCUGUGAAGGACCCUGAACCAGAGGACUCAGCGAAAUUGUGCCCAGAUUCCUGACCUACAGAGGCAGUGAGAUAAUAAAUGCUGUUGAGGUCACAAAGUUUUGAGGUAUUUGUUAAUACAGCAAUGGAUACUUAAUACAGCUUCCUACAUGGUCUCCCUCCUUCGACCUUCACGCUACAAUCUGUUGUCCACACAGCAGUCAGAGAUGCUUUUAAAACAUAAGUCAGAUCAUCAUGACACUCACCUCCCUGCUAAGUGUCCUGCAAGGCCUUUCACGGUCUGAUCCCCUAUCCUUUCUCUUUCCUCAUCUCCUAUCACUCUUGCCCUUGCAAAUUUUCUUCCAGCACUCUGGCCUCCUUGCUGUUCUUCAGUAUGGCAAGAAACGUGCUGCCCGGAGCCCACACACUGACUGUCCCCUCUCCUAGAAUAUUCUUCCCUCAAGGGCUCCCAUAUCUUGCCUGCUGGCUCCUGCAUCUUCUUCAAGUCUGCUCAAAUGUCACCUUCUCAGUGAGGCCCAUCCUGGCUAUCCUCUUUCAGUUCUGACAGAAAAUAAUUUAUCGCUUUAUUACAUCAUUAUUUUGUUGUCUUCCCUCCGUCUGUUCCUACUAAAAUUUAAUCUCUGAGAAAGCAGAAAACGUUGUCUUGUUCUUUCCUGUAACCCAAGUGCCUUGAACAUUGCCUCAUUAAUUGCUUGCGCUCAGUAAUAUGUGUUGAAUAAAUGGGUUAAGUAGUUUAUUAAUUGUGAAACUAAAUCCUGUCUGAAAGGUUUAGA